rnacentral:rRNA from 1 species
UACGGAGGGAGCUAGCGUUGUUCGGAAUUACUGGGCGUAAAGCGCACGUAGGCGGCUUUUUAAGUCAGGGGUGAAAUCCCGGGGCUCAACCCCGGAACUGCCCUUGAAACUGGAGAGCUAGAAUCUUGGAGAGGCGAGUGGAACUCCGAGUGUAGAGGUGAAAUUCGUAGAUAUUCGGAAGAACACCAGUGGCGAAGGCGACUCGCUGGACAAGUAUUGACGCUGAGGUGCGAAAGCGUGGGGAGCAAACAGG